AACGAACGCUAGCGGGAUGCUUCAAACAUGCAAGUCGUACGUGAAAGGGGCUUCGGCCCCGAGUAGAGUGGCGCACGGGUGAGUAACACGUAGCUAACGUACCCUUUCGCUGGGGACAACUCCGGGAAACCGGAGCUAAUACCGAAUGAUCUUGUCGGAUCUGCGGGUCUGACAGGUAAAGCCGUAAGGCGCGAAAGGAUCGGGCUGCGCCCCAUUAGCUUGUUGGCGGGGUAACGGCCCACCAAGGCGACGAUGGGUAGCUGGUCUGAGAGGAUGAUCAGCCACACUGGAACUGAAACACGGUCCAGACUCCCACGGGAGGGCAGCAGUUGGGAAUAUUGGACAAUGGGAGAAAUCCUGAUCCAGCAAU
rnacentral:rRNA from 1 species